rnacentral:rRNA from 1 species
AUUGAACGCUGGCGGCAGGCUUAACACAUGCAAGUCGAGCGGGGGAAGGUAGCUUGCUACCGGACCUAGCGGCGGACGGGUGAGUAAUGCUUAGGAAUCUGCCUAUUAGUGGGGGACAACAUCUCGAAAGGGAUGCUAAUACCGCAUACGUCCUACGGGAGAAAGCAGGGGAUCUUCGGACCUUGCGCUAAUAGAUGAGCCUAAGUCGGAUUAGCUAGUUGGUGGGGUAAAGGCCUACCAAGGCGACGAUCUGUAGCGGGUCUGAGAGGAUGAUCCGCCACACUGGGACUGAGACACGGCCCAGACUCCUACGGGAGGCAGCAGUGGGGAAUAUUGGACAAUGGGGGGAACCCUGAUCCAGCCAUGCCGCGUGUGUGAAGAAGGCCUUAUGGUUGUAAAGCACUUUAAGCGAGGAGGAGGCUACUUUAGUUAAUACCUAGAGAUAGUGGACGUUACUCGCAGAAUAAGCACCGGCUAACUCUGUGCCAGCAGCCGCGGUAAUACAGAGGGUGCGGGCGUUAAUCGGAUUUACUGGGCGUAAAGCGUGCGUAGGCGGCUUAUUAAGUCGGAUGUGAAAUCCCCGAGCUUAACUUGGGAAUUGCAUUCGAUACUGGUGAGCUAGAGUAUGGGAGAGGAUGGUAGAAUUCCAGGUGUAGCGGUGAAAUGCGUAGAGAUC